GUCCAGGGAUGGGAAACGAACCAACAGUGUUCCGCUUACCGGGCAGAUGCCAUGUCCACUAGGCUACCCUGGA
rnacentral:tRNA from 1 species